ACACCCUCAAGCUCUGCUUGGUGUUGGGCGUCUGUCCCGCCUCCUUCGCGCGCGGACUCGCCCCAAAUCCAUUGGCGGCGGCCCUUGCCUCCCUCUCGCGCAGCACAUUGCGCUUCUCGAGGCGCGGCGGACCGCGUCCAGCAAGCAACCGUCACACCGU
rnacentral:misc_RNA from 1 species